GAUGAACGCUGGCGGCGUGCCUAAUACAUGCAAGUCGAGCGAAUGGGUUAAGAGCUUGCUCUUAUGAAGUUAGCGGCGGACGGGUGAGUAACACGUGGGUAACCUGCCCAUAAGACUGGGAUAACUCCGGGAAACCGAGGCUAAUACCGGAUAACAUUUUGAACCGCAUGGUUCGAAAUUGAAAGGCGGCUUCGGCUGUCACUUAUGGAUGGACCCGCGUCGCAUUAGCUAGUUGGUGAGGUAACGGCUCACCAAGGCAACGAUGCGUAGCCGACCUGAGAGGGUGAUCGGCCACACUAGGACUGAGACACGGCCCAGACUCCUACGGGAGGCAGCAGUAGGGAAUCUUCCGCAAUGGACGAAAGUCUGACGGAGCAACGCCGCGUGAGUGAUGAAGGCUUUCGGGUCGUAAAACUCUGUUGUUAGGGAAGAACAAGUGCUAGUUGAAUAAGCUGGCACCUUGACGGUACUUAACCAGAAAGCCACGGCUAACUACGUGCCAGCCGCCGCGGUAA
rnacentral:rRNA from 1 species